UCGCUGGCGGCGUGCUCCACACAUGUUAAGUCGAGCGAGACAGUUGGGGCGCAACCCUGUCGAGUACAGUGGCAGACGGGAUAACACGUGAACAACCUACCCUCGAGUGGGGAAUAACACCGCGAAAGCGGUGCUAAUACCGCAUAAGAUCUAAUGGUCGCAUUGCCGAGAGAUCAAAACCGAAAGGUGCUUGAGGAGGGGUUCGCGGCUGAUUAGCUAGUUGGUGAGGUAACGGCCCACCAAGGCGACGAUCAGUAGCCGGCCUGAGAGGGCGGACGGCCACACUGUAACUGAGACACGGUCCAGACUCCUACGGGAGGCAGCAGUGGGGAAUUUUGCGCAAUGGACGAAAGUCUGACGCAGCAACGCCGCGUGGAGGAUGAAGGCCUUCGGGUCGUAAACUCCUGUCGAUGGGGACGAAAGCCCGCGAGGGAUUGACUGUACCCGUUGAGGAAGGCCACGGCUAACUCCGUGACCAGCAGACGCGGUAAUACGGAGGUGGCAAGCGUAGUUCGGAAUUACUGGGCGUAAAGGGCGCGUAAGCGGACUGACAAGUCAGAUGUGAAAGACCCGAGGCUCAACUCAGGAAUAGCAUC
rnacentral:rRNA from 1 species